rnacentral:tRNA from 1 species
UCAAUGAGCUUGUAAAGCAUAUAUUUUGAAAAUAUAAGAAAGAUCUAAAUCUAUUGAUUU